rnacentral:lncRNA from 1 species
AUGCAUUGGGUCCACACUGUGAUCCUUUGGGAGCGGCUUACUGCAAAAAGACUCCAGGUACGUGAUAUUCAUGAACAAGCAGAGAAGUCAGCUGAGGGCCACACACCCCGAUCUGCCUUUCACGGAAAUCACAAAGAUGCUGGCUGCUCAGUGGGCUCAGCUGUCUCAGGACAAAAAGGGGUAAGUCCUGUUCUCUGUGGUGAAUACAAAGCGAGUCCCUCCCUGAGAUGGGGCCUGGGCAGCCCUCAGACACCACCAGGGGCCAUUCCCUCCUAAUCCAUUUCUCCCACCGGAGCCAGAGGGAACCCUCUAGAGUGCAGACAUGAGGUGCCACUCACCCACCCAUUUAGAGCAAUUCAUGGGUCCUCUUGCUUUUGGCAGCAUCUCCUAAACUGGGUCACACAGAGUGGCCCAUCCAGGAAACAUGGGCCAGUUGUCAAAUAAGUCUAGGAUCUGUCACUAGUGCCCAGCCCAGGACCCUCUGCAGGGAAAAGUGCUGAUGUUUGCAUGAGGGAUCAUUAAAGAGAAGUCUAAGGUUCCCCAGGCGGGAGCUGAUAAUGCUGCCUUUCUCUGAAGUCAUCGGACCAAACCUAGAGAAUGGUAUGGCCACAGCAAGGCAGAUGCCAG